rnacentral:rRNA from 1 species
CCCAGACUCCUACGGGAGGCAGCAGUGGGGGAUAUUGCACAAUGGGGGAAACCCUGAUGCAGCAACGCCGCGUGAGUGAAGAAGUAUUUCGGUAUGUAAAGCUCUCUCAGCAGGGAAGAGAAUGACGGUACCUGACUAAGAAGCCCCGGCUAACUACGUGCCAGCAGCCGCGGUAAUACGUAGGGGGCGAGCGUUAUCCGGAUUUACUGGGUGUAAAGGGAGCGUAGACGGCUGGUCAAGUCUGAAGUGAAAGCCCGGGGCUUAACCCCGGAACGGCUUUGGAAACUGAGCAGCUAGAGUGCUGGAGAGGUAAGCGGAAUUCCUAGUGUAGCGGUGAAAUGCGUAGAUAUUAGGAGGAACACCAGUGGCGAAGGCGGCUUACUGGACAGUAACUGACGUUGAGGCUCGAAAGCGUGGGGGGCAAACAGGAUUAGAUACCCCAGUAAA